AGGACGAACGCUGGCGGCGUGCUUAACACAUGCAAGUCGAACGGAAAGGCCCGCUUGCGGGUACUCGAGUGGCGAACGGGUGAGUAACACGUGGGCAACCUGCCCUCAGCUUCGGGAUAACACUUGGAAACAGGUGCUAAUACCGGAUAAUAACCUUUCAUCGCAUGGUGGUUGGUUCAAAGUUUUUCGGCUGAGGAUGGGCCCGCGGCCUAUCAGCUUGUUGGUGGGGUAAUGGCCUACCAAGGCGACG
rnacentral:rRNA from 1 species